GCCAGACUGUGGAGGAAGAGAGAGUGAGAUCGCUAGAUUUGAUGAUUUAAACUGUGAAAUCAGAUUAUAACUUUGAAACUAGUUUGAGAAACUUACAAAAAGCUUUCAUAGAGAAGUAUUUGAAGAGGAUUCAGUCGUUAAAUUGAUCCUGUGACGAUCGAUGGGAAAAUUGCAUCAUUGUGUUGUUGAGGAGUGAAUAUAUGGACAUGGUCAGGUUUUUUUUCUUUGGUGUUUUUGAUUGAAGACUGAUUCACAUUGAUGGCGGGCCAACCUAUUCGGACACUAGAAAAGGAAAUUGGAAAUUCACCCUACUGAACCAGGAGAGUACUUUAAUACUUUUUAUUUUUCCAGCUCAAGGUAAAAGACUGUUUUUUCCGUUUCUGGAUAGAGACUGUUCAUGUUUUUUCCCUGAGAACUGAUUAAGAAAAAGACUAAUACCAGCGCACGGACACUUGGAAAUCAAACUAUUUUCCUUUUGAAGUGAAAUGAGAAAUACUGAGUUUGUUGAUUCUGAACAAGUGGUUUUCUUUACAUUUUCAAUGUAAUUUCAAUUGAACUUUAUUUUGUUUUAUUGUGUUUUAAUUGUUUAUUGUAUUUUGUUAAUUUUAUUUUGGGGAAAGAUCUGCAGAAAAAUAUAUCUAUAAACAUUUCAAAUACUUACCUA